rnacentral:rRNA from 1 species
UGUGCCAGCCGCCGCGGUAAUACGUAGGGUGCAAGCGUUAAUCGGAAUUACUGGGCGUAAAGCGCACGCAGGCGGUUUGUUAAGUCAGAUGUGAAAUCCCCGGGCUCAACCUGGGAACUGCAUCUGAUACUGGCAAGCUUGAGUCUCGUAGAGGGGGGUAGAAUUCCAGGUGUAGCGGUGAAAUGCGUAGAGAUGUGGAGGAAUACCGAUGGCGAAGGCAGCCCCCUGGGCCAAUACUGACGCUCAUGCACGAAAGCAUGGGGAGCAAACAGGAUUA